GAAAGCCAGCAAAACAUAAAUUCAAUGAAAACAAAAUGAAGUCAAUGAACUUUAGCUAGAUACUAUUCCCUGACCAAGGCCUGCUGGAGGCCGUACAACCGGGGUUUGAAUUGAGAUCUGCCAAGCUUCUGAGUUUAUUCUGUUUCCCCCACACCAAGGAUCCUCAAUACUGCAUUACUGACAUCAGGGGCCAGACAAUUCUUUGCGAUGGGGGCUGUCCUGCACCUGGCAGGAUGUUUAGCAGCUUCUCUGGCCUCCACCCACUGGAAGCCAGGGGAAUGCAGAAGAGGCUUGCUUAUUCUCCCAUUUAAUGCUCAGGACAAUAUCUGACAUCAAUGUUACGUCUUUUAUUUUAUAAAUGAAGACAAUGAGACUCAGAAAGGUUUAAGUGAGUCACCUAAGAACACACAGACAGCAAGAGGUAGAACCCGAAACUGAACACAGGUGUCCACGAGACAACAAAAAAGUUCAGGUUCCAGCUUCCUUUGAGUCUCUCAUUUCAACAAUGGCCAUCGUCUGCAUACGAGCUGAAGUACAGGAAAGCUGGGCUGAACUCUCUUCCCAUCAGGCCUAGGAGCCCCAGACCAGAACCCCAGCCCAAGUUCUCCCAGUCAGGCCCGCUGGCGUGAGCUGGCAUCUACACUAGCAUGGUUUCCCAAAGCUGCAGGGAUGCCAGUCUCGCCGCUGAUGAAGGAAAUGAAGGGCAUUUGCUUCUCCUGCAGGCUCUCGGGAUUUAACACAGAUUCCUUUUCUUGCUCUCUUCUCCCAUAGCACAAAACUGGGUGGUCCAUCCCCCUCCCAGUGUCCCAAGGCUUUGUUGCGUGUUCUCUUUAAUUUCUCCCACUCUCGCAGUGCACCCUACCCUCGUCUCCCUGGCAACCUUUCUGCUCUAUCCUCUCGCCACCUGGAUCACAAGAACACUUGUGAGACCCCUUAACAAGCUACAUCCCAAAUUAUCAUUCCCCUUUGUCCUCAGCCAGUGCCCGGGUCCAACUCGCUCUCCUGGGGUGACUUUCUUUCCUGCCCAAUAUGGUUUCAUCAUCUGUAAAUUGGGGAUAAUUGAAGUCUUGAUCCUGAUAUUGGGCUCUGAAAGCAGAAGUAGCAAGCUCAGCCAAGUCACUUCAACAAGAGGAGACGUUCCUUGUGAACCAAAAGGGCACUGGUCACAAGGGCCGCUCCUUCUCUCAGGCCUCUCCAGCACGCCCUUGGCUCAGCCAAAGAAGAGACUCAGGCUGUGCUUCUGUGCUGUGGGGAUAACAGACGGGGUUUUGCUAUGUUGCCCCGGCUGGUCUUGAACUCCUGAGCUCAAGAGAUCCACCCACCGCAACCUCCCAAAGUGUUGGGAUUACAGGCGUGAGCCACUGCACUCAGCUUCUUUUCUAAUUUGUUUUUAUUCUGAGAUCAGAUGAGAUCGGCAUGUUCAGCUGCCCGCAGGUAACUGAAACUGCAGAGAGCAUACGGGAGACUACAGUAUCUGACAAUGGACUUGGAUCUAGAAUACAUAAAGAACUCUUACAACUUGAUAAUAAAAAGGAUAUAACCCAAUUUUAAAAUGGACAAAAGAUCUGAACAGAUAUUUCUCCAAAGAAGACAUACAAAUGGCCAAUAAGGGCCAGGUGGUGGCUUAUGCCUAUAAUCCCAACACUUUGGGAGGCCAAGGCAGGUGGAUCACUUGAGGCCAGAAGUUCAAGACCAGUCUGGCCAACAUGGCGAAAACCCAUCUCUACUAAAAAUAUAAAAAUCAGCCAGGCGUUGUGGCGCAUGCCUGUAGUCCCAGGUACUCAGGCAGAUGAGGCACAAGAAUCACUCGAACCCGGGAGGCAGAGGUUGCAAUGAGCUAAGAUUGCACCACUGCACUCCAGCCUGGGCAACAGAGCAAAACCCCACCUAAAAAUAAAUAAAUAAAUAAAAAUAAAAGAAAGAAAAUAAAUGGCCAAUAAGCACAAGAAAAUACACUCAAUUUCUGUCUUAGUCUGUUUGUGCCGCUGUAACAAAAUACCUGAGACUAAGUAAU
rnacentral:lncRNA from 1 species